rnacentral:snoRNA from 1 species
UUUUAAUGAUGAAAAACUUUAUUUCAGUUCUGCUACUGAUUAAUAAACCAUGUUGAUAACACCUUUACCAAAAGCUUACUUAUCUGAUAU